rnacentral:rRNA from 1 species
GAACCGUCCAAACGUUACUCGGAAUCACUGGGCUUAAAGGGUGCGUAGGCCGCGCGGAGGGUGGGAUGUGAAAUCCCCCGGCUCAACCGGGGAAUUGCGUCCCAAACCGCCGUGCUUGAGGGAGACAGAGGUGAGCGGAACUGAUGGUGGAGCGGUGAAAUGCGUUGAUAUCAUCAGGAACACCAGUGGCGAAAGCGGCUCACUGGGUCUUUCCUAACGCUGAGGCACGAAAGCUAGGGGAGCGAACGGGAUUAGAUACCCCGGUAGUCCUAGCCUUAAACGAUGAGCACUUGAUUGGAGGAAUGGUCACGUUCUUCCGGUCGUAGCGAAAGUGUUAAGUGCUCCGCCUGGGGAGUAUGGUCGCAAGGCUGAA